rnacentral:rRNA from 1 species
UACGUAGGGGGCAAGCGUUGUCCGGAUUUAUUGGGCGUAAAGAGCGUGUAGGCGGCCAGAUAGGUCAGCUGUGAAAACUCGAGGCUCAACCUCGAGACGUCGGUUGAAACCAUCUGGCUAGAGUCCGGAAGAGGAGAGUGGAAUUCCCGGUGUAGCGGUGAAAUGCGCAGAUAUCGGGAAGAACACCCGUGGCGAAGGCGGCUCUCUGGGACGGUACUGACGCUGAGACGCGAAAGCGUGGGGAGCGAUCCGG